AUUGAACGCUGGCGGCAGGCCUAACACAUGCAAGUCGAACGGUAACAGGAAGCAGCUUGCUGCUUUGCUGACGAGUGGCGGACGGGUGAGUAAUGUCUGGGAAACUGCCCGAUGGAGGGGGAUAACUACUGGAAACGGUAGCUAAUACCGCAUAACGUCGCAAGACCAAAGAGGGGAACCUUAGGGCCUCUUGCCAUCGGAUGUGCCCAGAUGGGAUUAGCUAGUAGGUGGGGUAACGGCUCACCUAGGCGACGAUCCCUAGCUGGUCUGAGAGGAUGACCAGCCACACUGGAACUGAGACACGGUCCAGACUCCUACGGGAGGCAGCAGUGGGGAAUAUUGCACAAUGGGCGCAAGCCUGAUGCAGCCAUGCCGCGUGUAUGAAGAAGGCCUUCGGGUUGUAAAGUACUUUCAGCGGGGAGGAAGGGAGUAAAGUUAAUACCUUUGCUCAUUGACGUUACCCGCAGAAGAAGCACCGGCUAACUCCGUG
rnacentral:rRNA from 1 species